rnacentral:rRNA from 1 species
UGGGCCUACGGGGGGCAGCAGUAGGGAAUAUUGCUCAAUGGGGGAAACCCUGAAGCAGCAACGCCGCGGGGAGGAUGAAGGUUUUCGGAUUGUAAACUCCUUUUGUUAGAGAAGAUAAUGACGGUAUCUAACGAAUAAGCACCGGCUAACUCCGUGCCAGCAGCCGCGGUAAUACGGAGGGUGCAAGCGUUACUCGGAAUCACUGGGCGUAAAGAUCGCGUAGGCGGGAUAGCAAGUCAGAUGUGAAAUCCUAUGGCUUAACUAUAGAACUGACUUUGAAACUGUUAUUCUAGAGUAUG